AUAAACCGCCGUUAACCACGCCCUGAGUAGUAACUGAGACCCCCAAACUCAAAGAAUUUGGCGGCACCCCGUCCCAUUAGAGGAGCCUGCCCCGUAAUCGACGACCCACGAUUAGCGUACCACACCUAGAAGUUUGUAUACCGCCGUUUAGGGUGUAUUUUAAAGUAUACCCCUAAUUAUCUUCAUAAAAAUCUCAGGUCAAGGUGCAGCUUACGGUGUGGAGGAGGUGGGCUACAUUAAAAAAAAUUAAAUGGAAUAUAAAUAUAAAAUUUAUAUAAAGGUGGAUUUAAUAGUAAAAUUACUUUAACUAAUUUGACAGGGUCCCGG
rnacentral:rRNA from 1 species